CAGCCGCCACGGUAAUACGUAGGGUGCGAGCGUUAAUCGGAAUUACUGGGCGUAAAGCGUGCGCAGGCGGUUCGUUAAGACAGAUGUGAAAUCCCCGGGCUUAACCUGGGAACUGCAUUUGUGACUGGCGGGCUAGAGUAUGGCAGAGGGGGGUAGAAUUCCACGUGUAGCAGUGAAAUGCGUAGAGAUGUGGAGGAAUACCGAUGGCGAAGGCAGCCCCCUGGGCCAAUACUGACGCUCAUGCACGAAAGCGUGGGGAGCAAACAGGAUUAGAUACCCGUGUAGUCCCUGUCUCUUAUAA
rnacentral:rRNA from 1 species